GAUGAACGCUGGCGGCGUGCCUAAUACAUGCAAGUCGAGCGAACAGACGAGGAGCUUGCUCCUCUGACGUUAGCGGCGGACGGGUGAGUAACACGUGGAUAACCUACCUAUAAGACUGGGAUAACUUCGGGAAACCGGAGCUAAUACCGGAUAAUAUAUUGAACCGCAUGGUUCAAUAGUGAAAGACGGUUUUGCUGUCACUUAUAGAUGGAUCCGCGCCGCAUUAGCUGGUUGGUAAGGUAACGGCUUACCAAGGCAACGAUGCGUAGCCGACCUGAGAGGGUGAUCGGCCACACUGGAACUGAGACACGGUCCAGACUCCUACGGGAGGCAGCAGUAGGGAAUCUUCCGCAAUGGGCGAAAGCUUGACGGAGCAACGCCGCGUGAGUGAUGAAGGUCUUCGGAUCGUAAAACUCUGUUAUUAGGGAAGAACAAAUGUGUAAGUAACUAUGCACGUCUUGACGGUACCUAAUCGGAAAGCCACGGCUAACUACGUG
rnacentral:rRNA from 1 species